rnacentral:lncRNA from 1 species
GUCCGGCAGUUUUCUCGGAGCCAAAGGAACCAAUCUGAAUGCACUAUAACAAGGAACCCUGACUUUCCAGUUGAAGUGCAACUUUGGAACUUAAAAAUGGCUGCCAUCACCAUGGAAACUGAAAAAUGGUGAAAAAAUAUAAUUUUGGAGUUCGUUGAAUUAUUUGAGAAUGCCUAAGCUUAGAAUUUUUAGAUUUUAACAAAAUGUAGGUGCCUACUAUAUACUGGUUUUAGGUAAUUUUGGCAUUCAUUGAAACUGCUAUGUUGCCAUGGAUACUACUUCAAAAAUUUCCAAAAUAUGGAAAUGCUCCAAAUUUUAUGAAACUUCACAGUAACGAUGAGCAGCAUUGGUAGAUGUGGAAUUUGGCGUUGGAAUUUCCAAAAUGUCUGCUGUUACCAUGGA